GAUGAACGCUAGCUACAGGCUUAACACAUGCAAGUCGAGGGGAAACGAUAGAGAAAGCCUUGCUUUUUCUAGGCGUCGACCGGCGCACGGGUGAGUAACGCGUAUCCAACCUGCCCAUCACUUGGGGAUAACCUUGCGAAAGUAAGACUAAUACCCAAUGACGUCUCUAGAAGACAUCUGAAGGAGAUUAAAGAUUUAUCGGUGAUGGAUGGGGAUGCGUCUGAUUAGCUUGUUGGCGGGGUAACGGCCCACCAAGGCGACGAUCAGUAGGGGUUCUGAGAGGAAGGCCCCCCACAUUGGAACUGAGACACGGUCCAAACUCUACGGGAGGCAGCAGUGAGGAAUAUUGGUCAAUGGACGAGAGUCUGAACCAGCCAAGUAGCGUGCAGGAUGACGGCCCUA
rnacentral:rRNA from 1 species